UCAGACGUGGUGUACGGCACACGCUCGCUUUUCCUUAGAUUGUUGGAAAUAAUCGUUACAGCGGGAGCCCGGGGUUCGACUCCCCGCGUCUGUA